UUAUAAUAUUUUAUGUUCUAAAAAAAAUGUAUGCUUAAAUGUUACAGAAGCAAAAAGUUGCAUAAAAGGAAAUAAAUUAAUACAAUGUAAAAUUGUACGUUAAAAUAAAAUUAGUAAAAAAAAAAAAAAAAAAAAAAAAAAAAAAAGGCAAAAAAAUUGUUUUUUCUUUAAUUUCAUUUGACUUUAAAUAUUUGUUCAUAUACGUAUGGACUAGUGAAUUAUUUUGUUUUUAUUGCAUACAUUUAUGGUUUUUUUUUUAAUUUUUUUUUUUGAAUGUCUUAAUGUUUUAUUUUAGUGUGAGAAAAAUUACAGAUACGAUCUUAUUUCUCCAGCAAAGGGUUCCUGUGUUUACUGCAGUUUUAAAUCUUAUCUUGCAAUAUGUUACUUUAUAGCUUUCAUAGUUUUUAUGAAUAUUUUAAGAGUAGUAUGUAUUAACAAGCCGUUAGAAAGUAAAAUAAUAAAUCUGUAUAUCAAAUAUACACAGUAUAUUGCAAUUUUUAGAUACGUAAACUCAAAUUACGACGACUACACAGUUAAGCUGUUGUAUGCAUUAGCAGCGGGUGUACCCCUUAACGAAGUGUUAGAUUGUAUAUUUAAGGUAAAGAUAGAUUAAGGGAUAAUAAUGCGUGCAGACACACACAUAUAUAUAUAUAUAUGUUUACACAUUUGUAUGAGCAAAAUAAGAACAAUAAAAAAAAAACAAAACGUUAUCUUCUGUUAGACUGAUUAUAAAACUACCACUCAUGAAGAUGAAUAUCUUUCAUUUUUAUUCUUAUUCUUAUUCUUAUUCUUAUGCUUAUUCUUAUGCUUAUUCAUAUGCUUAUUCUUAUGCUUAUUCUUAUGCUUAUUCUUAUGCUUAUUCUUAUGCUUAUUCUUAUUCUUAUUCUUAUUCUUAUUUUUUUUUUUUUUUUUUUUUUUGCUAGGAUGGCAUGAACAUUGAAAGAAUUACAAACAAAAUUAAUUUUCUAUUAUUUUUACCUUUACUGAUUUCAGUGUGCUCUGCUUUUUGUGCAUAUCAAUUUCAUCGCUAUGGGAAAAAAUUAAAAUACAAAAAAAAUCGAAAAACUGAUUCCCUUUUUGAAAAAUCGGAUGUAAACGAAAAUGAGUUGUAUGAUACGAUGGUAAAAAACAAAACCUUUUUUCAAAUGUUUCAAAAGUCUUACUUUAAGUACUCUACUAAAAAAAAAAAAAA
ensembl:lncRNA